AGGUUUUUGUAGCUGUUAUGGUUGCCAUACCAAAAUGCAUCUUUGUUGUUUCAGGUGAUGGUGCCUAUCCAGCAGUAAAACAGCUGCGGUGUUGAACUUCUUGGGGCCAGGAACUGUGUCUGCAAACACGUCCAGUUGGUAACACAAAAGUGAGUUCACAACGUGUUCUAACCUUCGCUCUCCUUGGGUCCUGAUACCUGAUACAGU
rnacentral:lncRNA from 1 species